GACGAACGCUGGCGGCAGGCUUAACACAUGCAAGUCGAGCGCCCCGCAAGGGGAGCGGCAGACGGGUGAGUAACGCGUGGGAAUCUACCGUACCCUACGGAAUAGCUCCGGGAAACUGGAAUUAAUACCGUAUACGCCCUACGGGGGAAAGAUUUAUCGGGGUAUGAUGAGCCCGCGUUGGAUUAGCUAGUUGGUGGGGUAAAGGCCUACCAAGGCGACGAUCCAUAGCUGGUCUGAGAGGAUGAUCAGCCACAUUGGGACUGAGACACGGCCCAAACUCAUACGGUAGGCAGCAGUGGGGAAUAUUGGACAAUGGGCGCAAGCCUGAUCCAGCCAUGCCGCGUGAGUGAUGAAGGUCUUAGGAUUGUAAAGCUCUUUCACCGAUGAAGAUAAUGACGGUAGUCGGAGAAGAAGCCCCGGCUAACUUCGUGCCAGCCGCCGCCGUAACAC
rnacentral:rRNA from 1 species